UACGUAGGAGGCAAGCGUUGUCCGGAUUUACUGGGUGUAAAGGGUCCGCAGGCGGAUGUAUAAGUCGGUGGUGAAAUCCUACGGCUCAACCGUAGAACUGCCUCCGAUACUGUAUAUCUUGAAUAUAGGAGAGGGCAAUGGAAUUCCAGGUGUAGCGGUGAAAUGCUUAGAUAUCUGGAAGAACACCGGUUGCGAAGGCUGUUGCCUGGCCUAUUAUUGACGCUCAGGGACGAAAGCGUGGGGAU
rnacentral:rRNA from 1 species